UGGGGCAUGGCUGCCAUGGAGGCGUGAUCUUUCUGUGAAGGGUAGAGUGUAACAAUAAGUGGGGCGUGGCGAUUCCCUGGGGGCGUGGUCAGAGUGGGGAGUAGCUUCGGACGGGGCGUGGCUCCCGUUGCAGGAGGAGUUCAAAGCUCUAGGAGCAGCUCAGGAGAGAACCGUCUGGAACUAAUAGCCCUUGCAGCCCUGCCUGCCCGGCCAUGUGGCGCCCUGUGGUCUUGAUGCUGCUGCUACUCCCUGUCGUCCCCAUUCCCAGCGCCACUGCUGCUCCCAUCCCGGAUGCCAAAGCCCAGUACAGCCUGCAGGGCCUUCUCCAAGGUUCUCAAGCUGCAAGAGACAGAGGGACGUGGGCAAUUGCAGAUCAAGUUACUCACUCCGGCUGUCCUCCUGGGUUAUGAGCCCCAAAGUCCCAGAGGCUGGCCUGCGGCUCUGUGAGAAACCUCCACGGCUCUAGGCCAGCUGCCCCAGUCUUCUUAAAGGGGGCCUGCCCAAAAGGGAGACCUGGGGCCUCCCUCAGUUCCAACAGCCCACCCCCAAGACCCACUCAAGGCUCAUCAGCAGCUGUUGGUUCUGGGGGUGGGCACCAGAGCACUGGCAGGGCACAGACACGUACCCUUACCAGACCCCAGCUCCAUUUAGAAAUAAAGUCCUUUCUUA